UGGAUGCUGCGGGGAUGCGUGCAGGUGCAAUUUUCCCACUGACCGAUACAUAUUUGCGACAGGGGGCUGUCGCUGACAGGGCCGUGGUCCUGUUAUAUGGCUCCCACCUUAAUUUAGGGGUCAUCGCGGAUAUUUCGCACCCACGGCCUUUCGUGGCAUCCAC
rnacentral:other from 1 species